rnacentral:lncRNA from 1 species
UUCUCCAGUAUUUUCAAUUCAUCACCCCUUUUGUCUAAACCUUUCAUCUCCCUUAGAAAACCCUCUUUUUAUCUUUGACCCUUCUUUUUCUUCUCAUCCAUCUCAAAUAUGAUGACUCGAACUAGAUCCAUUACUUCUCCCAAAGUUAUCCCUCACUGCCCUUCAGACUCUUUCGAACAUAAUGUUCUUUUGAGGAUUCCUCCAAAGAGGAAUUUGAUGCUCCUUUUUCUUCAUCCAAGAAUAGACUUGUUGUAAAAAAAAAGGCCUCUAAAAAGCAUCGCCUAGAUCCCUCCAACACCCUCUAUUCUGAAGACAUGCAUUGAUUCUGGGGUAUCAACUAGAAAAACAAGUUUGAAGCAUUAAAUGUCAUCAACUUGGAAUAGCUGAAAGAUUCUCACCACCGGGUAAGUUUGUUUCUCAAAGUUCAAAAACUACCUCUUCUUCUUUGUUUUCUAUGGCCUUGAAUUGUACGAGGAACUUGUUCGUCUCUUCCAUGCAAACCUUCGCUUAUCUAAGGAUAGUGAUGAGUGGGAAACUCUUGUUCUAGAGUAGCGCAUUAUUAUAAAUAAUUUUCCGUUAAAAGAUGAGUUUGGUACCAUGUGCCAAAUAUGAAUGACGUUUGACCUAACAAUUUUGAAGUUUCUUUGUAAGUGACCAAAGCGUUCAUUAUUGAACCUGGUUUGGAACUAUCUUAUUUUGGUCCUCUUUCUUUGUGUUUUGAAAAUCGCAUUCUUGCUCAUAUGAUUGUUACUACUCUGGUUCCUAGGAAGGGAUAUCUCUUAGUAAUAUCUCAUCUAGAGAUGUUUUUGUUCUGUAUUGCCUUUUCAAAAUGUAUAUGAUUGAGCUUCUCGGAUACGAGAAUAUAUAGAGGAAACUCUGAGGAUAUGAACGCAUCUGCUAGACUGCUCUACGGCCUAUUAAUAUCACGUAUCUUGGUAGAUACUCUGGUUGAUUUCUCUGGAUAGUUGUUGUAUAAUGUUUUCAACACAAUAAAAUAUUUCUUGGGUGAUCAUUGAACAAUAUUGUUUUAUGUUGCUCCUCCUAUCUUAACACUAUCUCUUUAAUUUGUUAAACUGGGGGAGUUUGUACCCAUUAUACUCAUUUGCGUUGUGAAUAGAGGGUUGUUGGUUACCUCUCUAAACUCUUUUUGCUCUGCUCUGCUAUCCAAUAGUUAACUACGUCUGCAUACUUGUAUGUCUCUCUACUUAUGUGUUCUUUUGUUUUUGUUUUCUUUUUUAUCAUGUAAAAGGGGGAGAAGAUGGCACAAAUAGUCCAAGCAACUAGCAAGGGGGAGAACUCACAAGAUGUUUUUUGUGCACUCAGCUAAGGGGAGUGAGUCUCAUAGCUGAACAAGCAAGUAUAGAAGUAUUAUUUGUGCAAAUUAUUUGUCAUUAUCAAAAAGGGGAGAUUGAUAGGUUCAAGUUAAUUAAAGUAAAGUUUAAAUAAUGGCAAAAUCACUUUGCAGGUAAACAAAGGAGUAGGUUGAAUGCCAGAAAGGAAUGAAUAUCAAGCAAAAGAAUUGAAUCAAUGUACAAGUGAUUUAAUCUGCUAUGCACAAAUCAGGACGAAGAUUAGAUCAUCUACAAGGGAAGAAAAUCAUAAGCUUAAAGUUGGAGUGCCCACUAGGAAAGAAAAUCAAGACAAGCAAAGGAAAGGAUUGAAGACCUCCUCUAAUCAAGGACCAGACCAAGGAAAUGACGGACUGCGGAAUGAAAGGAGCAAGAUAGAAGAUCGACCUCAUGUUUGGAAAGAAAUAAAUCAAGAAGAAAGAAGAUCGGUAGAAUGAUAGACCACAAUAUGGACAUGUACUAUCAUUCAUACUCAAUCAAGGAAAGAAACUCCUUUGAGUUUUCCUUCAGAGCAUAAAGAACCUCACUACAAGGAUCUAUAAGAAGUUUGUUCCUUUCGAAAAUGAAAACUACGCACUUCACUUGAACUUGUACUACAUCUUCUUUCUUUCAUCUUUCAUACUACUCUAUAACCUUGCAAAGCCUACAAUUAUAAAAGAAGAGAGUUGUGUUGGUUAUACAGGUAAAGAUUGUAUCAAUUUAGGAUAUAUCCGACUCAGGUUAGAUAUAGUAGAUAUCAAAAUCAUCUGUACUCACAAGUUCAACAAAAGGCUCUAAAGAAAACCCUAGUAACCCAAAGGAAUUGGUUUAGGUAUCACAUCUGUGAUCCAAACCAGUAUGAAAACAACUUGUCUCAAUUUAUGUUCACACUCAAUUAAUCUUCCCUCUCC